GAUGAACGCUAGCUACAGGCUUAACACAUGCAAGUCUAGGGACCGGCGCACGGGUGAGUAACACGUAUCCAACCUGCCCUUUACUCGGGGAUAGCCUUUCGAAAGAAAGAUUAAUACCCGAUGUAAAGGAUGGGGAUGCGUUCCAUUAGGUUGUUGGUGAGGUAACGGCCCACCAAGCCUUCGAUGGAUAGGGGUUCUGAGAGGAAGGUCACCGACAUUGGAACGGAGACACGGUCCAAACUCCUACGGGAGGCAGCAGUGAGGAAUAUUGGUCAAGGAGCGGUAGCCUGAACCAGCCAAGUAGCGUGAAGGAUGAAGGCUUAUGGGUCGUAAACUUCUGUUAUAUAAGAAUAUGUAUUAUAUGAAUAAGGAUCGGCUAACUCCGUGCCAGCAGCCGCGGUAAUAC
rnacentral:rRNA from 1 species